GAUGAUCUCAAUAGCUGACAUUGAGCCGUUUGUGUUUAGGUGGGCUAAAAGUGUUCAAUUACACCAGUUGUGUUGAAAAUCAGCGAAGUAAUAUAUGGAGGGGGGAAAGCUGUAACCCAAGGCACAAACAAAUGGGACUAACGGAAGGAAGGACAGAAAGUGGAAAAACAAGGAUACAUAUAUUUGCCAACCCCCACCCCACAAAACUAAUUUGCUAGUUGGAAAUAAGAACAUGUUUAAAAAACAAAGAUGCAUAUGCAUAUCAGUGGACAAAGUGAUAAUCCUAUUACUUAACAAAGCAAACAAGUUUUAACAACCAAGAAAUAUGUCCCGUAUUAUCGUGUAGGCCUACGUCUCCAAUAGGAGCUUAACCAAAGUUGACACAGCAAUAAAAUGAAGUUAAAUUGCCA